UAAUUAAAUAAACUGGGUUCGGCCGGGCUUGACUGGGAACCCGGAGGAGUCACGAGGAGUCACAGCCCAGGGCGCUUGGUCCUCACCCGCGGCGCUCACUGCCUGGUGCCUCCUCGGGGCCGAACGACCACGUUAGCUCUGCCGUCCCUGCGCUGCCAUGGCUCUCAUUACAGUCGACGAGCUGUUAACAUUUCCAUUAGGGGAUUUUUUUUAAGGGUUAUAACCUAGUCAUAACAAUCAUUUGUUUUAGCUGAGACUCCGGUAGCAGGAAGUCAAGCUAGAAGUGACAGGAGUGAAGACAAGUAGCUGCACACCCCGCGAGCGCUCCAAAGAAGCAGACGCAUGCACCAAGAGGAAUGGGUGAAUAACUAGAGCUGUCAAUCAAAUGACCUCACCCUGUCCGUCAAAGAGGCUCCUCCCAGCCAGGAGAUGGUAAGUGGACCUCCCCUAAAAGUUUGGGGCCUUCCUCUGCCUUGACUCUGGCCUGCUCCUCCCUGGGAGUGUCUGCAAAUACCGCUUCCACCCUGCCUCGCUGUUGUGUCUGUGCCCUUCAGUGCUUUGUUUCUGCACCCGUGUGAGGACCGAGAAGAGCCAACUCUCCCUAACCGAGGUCAAGGUUCUGCGUGCUGGGGCCCUAAAGUGCUUGCACACAGGACCUGGAUUCUUGUCCCAGGCAGAGGAUGGGAAGGCCUGUGUCCAGCCAGCCGUCACCUGCAGCUGUGUGCGUGGGGGGCCACCGAGCUGAGCCCAGCCAGGCCGCCUCAAACGCAGCCCGCGCCGUCCUGGGACCUGGGGGUGGUUUGCUCCGCGGCCCUGCGGUGGCACGAGCUGACUCAACGAACUGCCCCGGCGGAGCCCCGGGGCCUGUGUCGUAAGGCCGUGUUUUGCAUCAGUCUAGCCACUCUACAUUGUAUGCUGUGCGAUUAUGCAGUACUUGCCCCAUUAAACCUUCGUUAGGCGAUGAAAAGCAAAGACCCUGAUGUCUUCGACAUUAAGGUCUAAUGAGGAAAACAGGCUUAAAUAACCACAUAAGUAAGUGGUAUAAUUACAAAUUGAGAUAAAAUCCCUUUUGCAGAGUUCUGCGAGUGUAAACAAGGAACCCUGACGUAGGCCGGGGAGUCGGAAGCUCUGCUGUGGAAUCUGGACCGAGACCUGCAGGGCGAGCACUGCCUUUCCCGGCAGGGCCCGUGGACGCUCUCGGCGGCUCGCGUGCUGUUCUAAGGGCUUGGAAAGUUCUGACUUGCCCACUCCUCACGACGCCCCUCUCACCGGCGACCAGCCCAGAAGAAGGGGGGGGGUCGGCUGAGGCCAAGUCCUCGGGCAGGGGGAGGGCCUCGGGCAGCUGAAGGGUGCCCAGGGGCAGAGAGCCCGUGGGGUGGGAAGCGCGGUGCGGCUGGGAGGGCAGCGCGGGAGGCUCUGUCGGCCUUGCCAGGACUCUCCAUCCUACCGGAUGACAAUGAGAAGUCUCUGAUGGGUCUUACAUAGGACAGGGAAUGGGUGCUAUGGCCAGAUUAGCAUUUACUGCCAAGAAUCCAGGUUGUCCAAAGGAGAAUGAAUUAGAAGGGCCUAAGGGGGAUAAAGGGGGUUCAGUAAGGGGGAUCUUGUGAUAAACCAGGCAUGAAAUAAUAGUAACUUAGGCAAGAAUGACAGGCGAGGAAAUGGAGACAAGGGGACAUAUUUGAGCAGUUAUCAGGAGAGGAGAUAAGAUCUGCAGAGUUUUAAUAGAGACAUUCAUAUUAUUUAUUAGCUUCUCUGUUGAGUACCAACAGCUUACAGGUGUUCUAUGGGACCCCCUUCCUGGGCUUCCUAGAGGAGGCACAGAGCUUGGAGAGGAAGCGGGUUUCUGGUUUAGCAACUCCUUUCGGCGGAGGAGAGUGCCAGAGGCAUGGGGUGGGUGGGGGGAGGCUGGAGAGACUGCCGUAUGGCUUUGUACCACUUGGAAACAGGAACUUGAAAAAUAUACAUGCAUAACAAUUCCACAAUUUGUGUAUGGAAAGCUGCAAUAUUUUAAUAUUGCUUUUGAAAUAUCAUUUUAGAUUUCCAUGAAGGAAUCAAUGACUCACGGAGAAUACUGAAUAAGCUGGAGGGAUGUCUUCAGUGCUGGGGCCUCCCACAGGGACUUAGGAUGGAUUGCAUGUCGCUUUCCCAAGGCUUAGGAGGGUAUUAGGUCCUUCUAUGCUCACUUAAUGUUCCCUCUUCUUAGAAGCUGCUCCCACCUAAGUGUGUGCUAAACCCAGAAUAGAUGCAAAUUUGGGGAAGUUUAAAUAUAUUCUCUUUGCCUCCUGUAUUUAAAGGAAAUCUGAUUUGGGUUUUGAAUGCCUUUUGGGAUGUAUUAGAAUAUUUUAGGUGAUAAACAGAUAAGGAAUAGUCUGCUUCUGUUAGGUUUUUCCUGGGCAUUUUAAAUGUUGAAUUUUCAAAUAGAAUUAUUUGAUUAUAAUUCAGAGAUACUGGUAUGAUUUUGAUACCUUUAAUAGAGAGCUUUCUAAGAUAAAAAAAUGGGAAUAUGCCUAACAUAUAAGGCAUUUCUGUCAAAAGCAUAGUUUUACUAUUAAAGUAUGAGGUUCAAAAUUCCGGUUAUAAAAUAAGUAAGUCAUGGGAUGUAAUGUACAGCAUGGGGACUAUUAAUACAUAUUGUAAAAAAAAGAUAUUAUUUAAAUAUAUGUGCAUGACACAUGUACAUGUAAGUUUCUUGUGGCUGCUGUAACAAAUUGCUACAAACGGGAUGGCUUGAAACAUUAUCCGUUCAUUCCCUUAGAGUUCUGGAGGCGUAGUUGGAAAUCAGUUUCACUGGACUGAAAUCAAGGGGUCCACAGAGCCGUGCGCCCUCACCUCUUCCGGCUUCCAGAGGCGCGCUGCUUGCAUGGCUGGGCUCGGGUCCCCUUCCCCCGGCUUCACAGCCAGCAGGACACCCGCCUCCUCUGACCUUCCGCCUCCUUCCCUCAGACGGCUUUCUUCUCUCUUCUGCCAAACGCCCCUCCGCCCUCCUCUCCCAAGGGCAUGUGUGACGUCAUUAGGGCCCACCCAAACCAUCCAGGAUUAUCUACCCAUCCCAACAUCCACAACUGAAUCCCAUCUGCCAAGGCCAUUUUGCCAACAUACGGUGGCACCCACAGGUUCCGGGGGUUAGGACCCGGGUGUCUUUUCCUGCCGUUAUCCAACCUGCCCCACAGCGUGUAGUGUUGUCCAAUUCCGUUGAGUAGUGCAUUUGUGCACUGAGGGAAACUAACCAUUUUUUUUAUUGUGGUAAAACAUGCAUAAAAUGUACCAUUUUAGCCAUUUUCGGUAUUGUAAAUUCAUUGAUAAUGAAUUACAUUCACAGAGUUGUGCAACCACCGCUGCCCAUCUCUGGGGGCUUUCACCGUCCCAGACUGAAGCUCUGUCCCCAUUGAACCCUGACGCCCCCUCUCCCGCCCCCAGCCCCGGACAAGCACCGGCACAUUCUGUCUCUGAUUUGGUGACUCUAGGAACUUGGCAUAAGCGGAAUCAUACAGUAUUUAUUCUUUUAUGGCUACAUUUUUAAAUGAUUUUUUAAAACUUAAUCUUCAUAUAGAUAUUCUCAGAUUGUUUAAUUUGCGGUGUCAGUGUGGGUCAGGGCAACAUGGAAUGUGGAGCUAGACGCAGUUACAAAGCAGCAGCAGCCUUCUUUGCCUUGAGAAUUUCCAGGGAUAAUGGCUAGAACCCGCCAGAGACCUUGACUUCUAUCAUUCCCAUACAGAGAAAGAAUCUUAAAAUUUACUUUAAAAAAACAGGAUCCAUGUGAAUGGCAGAUACUGUUUGUGAAAACAUUGUGUCUUGCCAAUGGGUUUCAGCCCCGGGCAAGUUCGCUAUGGAUUCAGUGUGACCAAAGAAAUCCACAGCAAAACGUUCUUUGGGGUGGAAGGGUUUGUUACCCGGCUUGUUCUCCCGGCGGGUAGUUGGAGCACUAGCCUCUCUGCCUCCGCCCAGAGCACCGGGACGAGCUCUCCACAUAGCGCAGUGAUAGCUUAUUGCCUACCGGUGUGGAAGCGGCCCCCCAGCAACAGGCCAGUUACAUCAUCAGGUGGUUUAAGUUCAGUGAGGAUCCUGGCCAUAGGAACCCCAACUUCCCCACACAUUGUCAGGGUCCUCAUCCCCCCAUUUGAUUUCUCUGUUAAAACUUUUGGAUGCCAAUGGGAUUGGCCCACAGCACGGGUCCAGGAGGCAGGUCCCCAAGUCUGACUCCACUUAUGUGAGGUUCCCACAGGUCAGCAGAGUCGGACCCGUGGGACAGACACAGAGCUGUGAACAGGUUCUGCCUCGGACCCGGUUGGCACCCCCUGCACACCUAGCUCUUUGGUCUUACAGCCCUCCCGGGCACAUUUCUAUUGGACGGCACAACUCUAGAACUCGCCUUGCUAUGAACCAGGUACGUCUGCCUCCAAAGGCACCGUGUGUGCGUGAGGAGUCAGAGGGCUGGCUGGGCACUGGCUUUUAACUACAGACAGUGAGAGGUUUCGCCUCUUCUGUAAGCAGAAGCGGAAGAGCCCUGGAAGCAGCUCCGUGGCCCUGCAUCCUGAGGAUCGGCUCACCCUGCCGGGUGACUUCCACCUGGGCCUUCGCCUCUGGUAGCCUUUCCUGAGAGUAGUGGGUCUACAAGUGUCUAGUGGGUGCCCAAAUAAAGUGUGUGCUCGGUGCAUAUA